rnacentral:lncRNA from 1 species
UGGCGAUGGUGGUGGUGAUGGUGAAGACCAUUGUUGUUGUUGUUGUUGUUGUUGUUGUUGUUAUGGUGGUGGUGGUUAGAGUUGCUGCUAUUGCUACAGCUAGAACUGUUGGAGCUAUGAGUAUCUGGUGAUGAAAUAAGACAUGGGUUGUGAAAUUCUUGAGGUUUUGGUAAGGUUUCCAUUGAUGGGUCUGUAUCUCUAGAGAGAGAGAGCAAAUUAGCUGAAUUGAGUUGAACUUAAUAAGAGAAGCUUGAGAACAAGGGUAGUUAGCAAAGUAAGAGUUUAGUUUGGUAAGAAAUGUUUUCUUCUUCUUCCCGUUCAUCUUCACUUGUUCAACUAAUUAUUUGACUUACAAAGAAAUAGUAAAUAUUUAAAUUAAAAAAAAAUUAUCUUUUAACUUAAUAUCAAAUUAAAUCUAUAAUUUUUAAUUUAAAAUAUAUGUAAUUAAAUAUUUAAAUUUACAUAAAAUUAAAUAAAUAAAUAAAUAAAUACAUAUAUCUUAUAUGGUUUUGUACAUGAUCAAUUUUUACUGACAUCCUUCAUGUGAUAUGUUACUAUAUAAUAGCAAAAGUAAAAUGUGUAAAAAAUAAUAAAUUAUUCAUUAUUUUAAAUUAAAUAAAUAUUAUUAGAUAUCUAUUUUUAAUAUAAUGAACCAAAAAUGUUGAAUAAAUAAAAUAAUAAAUAAUAAAGUAUUUAAUAGAUAGGAUUAAAUAAGCACAAAAUAUUAAAUUAUUUAUAAAUUUUGCAAGUUGAACAAAUAUCAUUCAACAUUCAUUUUUUAUAGUGCGAAAAUUAUUGUCACCUCCAAAUAUUAAUUUAAAAAUUAAACUCUCUCCUAAAUUUUCAACAAUAAUCAACUUUCUUUGAUUUUAUAUAAUAGCUAUUUUAUUCGUGUUAUAUUAAAUAUAUUUAUGUAAUACCUCUUUAUAUUAUAUACAAUUUAUUAUUUUAACCUACCUAUUCAUAACUUUUAUUUAGGUUCAUUAACAUUAUAAGUAGAAUAAUACUUUUAUGGAUUUAUCACUAAAUUUAAUGUUAUUUUAAUGACUAUUAUUUCAAUAUUAUAUGCAGAUACGCUACAUAAACAUGCCCUUUACCUUGACGUCAGAUUACAUUUAUGAUCUUCGACUUUGGGUGUGUAAAAAUAAGCUCUUAAACUAGUAUAAAGUUGAACAAGUAGACACAUAUGUCCCAUGCAGCAUUCUACGUGGUCAAUUCUUGUCCUACGUGUAUUAUGCCACAUAGGACGUGUGUGCCUAUUUACUCAACUUUAUAAAAGUUUAAGUGCUUACUUGUGCACACCCAAAGUUCAAUGGCGGAUGUAGAGUAGAAGGUGUCCUACACCCGCUACCGUAAGGCUUAAAAUUACAUAGAAAAAUCAUCAAAAGUUAUAAAUAUUAAUAGGUGGGAACUCAUAACUAAACCAAGGGAUAGCUUAGUGGUAGGAAAGGCCCUUGGGAACCCACAAGUUUGAAAUUCUGGAUCCGCCUCUGUCAAAGUUAGAGGUCAUAGAUAUGAUUUGAGGUUAAGUUAAAGGACAUGUUUAUGUAUUAUUUAAGGGUGUGCAUCGAUCGAUUUGGUUCGAUUUUAUAUAUUAUCGGUUUGAUUUAUCGAUUUUCAGUUUUUAAAUAUGUUAAACCAAUAACCAAAUCGAUAAGAUAUUUUUUUUCGAUUUUCGAUUUAUCGAUUUUUAGUCCUUAUUGGUUCGAUUUUCGGCUAAACCGAUAAGAAAUACUCAUAAAAUAGAAAAAGUAGUAACUAGCAUGAAAAAAAUUUGAAUCUUAGUUGUAACAAAAAAAUCCUACAUGAUGUGUUUUAAUUCACAAGAAUCUUCAAGUUUGAACUAAAUGUUGUUAGGAGAAUUUAAGAGUUUGUAUAAUUGAAAUAAUAGGUUUGUUAAUUUAUAGAAAUUAAGAUUACGAAAAUCGAACCGAACCAAUAACCCAAUAAUUUCUUUUUAUAAAAUUAUUAAAAAUUCAUUAACCCAAUAACUCAAUAACAAUAAAUCAAUAACAUUUUUAUCAGUUUGGUUUAUCGGUCGACUCGUUUUUUGCACACCCUAUGUAUUAUGUCUUAUAUGUAUUAAGUGUGAAUAUAUAUGUACAUACAAGUGCAUUAUUUUUUGUCUUUUUUCACUCUCUUACUCCAAGCAUUUUAUAUUAUUUGGCCCUUCUUGAAAAGAAACAUUUCUUUUAAGAAAAAAAUAAUUAGAGCGUAUUUUAUUAAAUUAAUCUUGUUAAUAAAUUUUGAAACUUUAAAUUUGACACUGACUACUCUAUGCAGUUACUUAAAAUAUAUAUAUAAGAAAACAACAUUAAAAAGUUCUUUUGAUUUCAUAAAUUGAACAAGUAAUUAAACAUAAAUCUUUUAGUAUGAGGAUCAAAUAAUAUGAAACUGAAGGAGUAUUAUCCAUUGUCCAUAUAAAUAAAUAAAUUUUAAUUAUUAUUAAUGGAGUAUUACAUAAAUUACAAUUUAAAAUCAAAAUUCAAUAAAUACUAUCUAAAAAUUUGACCUUAGGUUAUUUUUUCUUUUAUCCUGCAUCGAAGUAUAUUUGUAUAGUUAUUACUUGUAUAAAUAAAUAUUGGAGUAUUAAUUAUUAUCAAUAAAAAUAAUUUUCUCAUUAUGUUAAUUAUUUUACUAUAGAAUAUUAUUAAUUUAUAUAUUUAAUUAGUAUUUCUCAUUUUUUUGUUCAAAAAAAUAUUUAUAUUUUUAUGAAAAAAUUAGUACAUGAUUUACUUUUAAAAAAAUGAAAAUGUCAUGAUCUUUUAAGAAAGAAAAAAAAGAAAAAGUUGAUAAUGAACGAAUAUAAUAAGAAUCGUUUGAUGUGACUAUAAGGUAUAAUAAUAUCGGGAUAAAUUGUGAUUACUGUAACGACAGGAUGCCGGCGAUUUCUUUAGUGGGGGAGGCAGUGGCUGAGUUGGGUGGUGGUACGCGGCGGUGGUGGAAUGUGAGAGUGAAAGUCCAACUGGUAACAGCCUAUUGGAACUUAGACCAAAGGAAAAAAAUAAAAUAUUACUCCACUAUGUGAGAAAUUAAAGUUUCAAUGUUUGCCAUUGACUUAAAGGGACCUACUUGAAAUUGAAAGCUGACGAUAUAUUAAUAUGUGAGGUGGGUCCCUAUUCUUUGUUUUUAUAUUACAAUUUUUUGUUUCUAUAUGUUCUUUGGCUUUGUGGAAAGUGGUGCACUAAUCAAGGUUUAGAAUAAAACCUGAUACUAAUUUUAAAAUUAACUUUUGAUUCUUUCUUUGAGUGAUCCAAGUUCUAUGUAAAUAUACUAGUCCAAUUUUGUCUUGUGUCUAGGGAUCUUUCUCCUCAAAUGCCAACUCUCAAACAUGAGUUUUUCAAAUGAAAGCUAGCCUCAUUUGUCCAUAAAAAUAAUAAUUUUUUAAUUUAUAUUUGACCAUUAAUAUAUAUUAACGUUGUUUUUAAAAUUUUGUGAAAGAAAUAAAAAUAAAAAAAGUAAAAACAAAACUUAGUUUCAAAACAAUUUUCACAAAAAUUUAUAUGUAAUUCAAGAUGGAGGUGUUAUUUUUCUUUCAACCAAAUAGUAUCCAAAAUUUUCUUUCACUCAUUAAUGAUUAACAAUUGAAGACGAAGGUGGGGUAACUUGCUCUUUGUUUUUAUUGAUAAUUCUUCAUUUGAGUAAAACCUGAAAAUACCAAUUGCUUUUAUGGAAUAAGUCUCUUAUAGUAAACACAUAAAUAUGUCUUGUCCCCAAACUUACUUUCCGAAUGCUAGAAAGAAAAGUUUAGCAGCGAUUUCACCAUAAAAAUUAAAAAAUUUUGAAGUUGAAGUUGUAUUUGGUCUUUUUUUUUUUUUUUUUUUUUUUUUUAACUUUUAAAAAAAAAAAAUUUAAAUAUAAUUUUAUGCCCCAACUUUUACAAACUAUCAAAAUCACUCAACUAAAAUUUACCUACUAACGAGAAAAGAACACAAUUAGCAACUUUUAUAAAAAUAAUUACAUAUACAUGGCCAUAUUUAAUAAAUUUCAAUUAUGACAUAUAUAAUAUUUACAUUAAUAGUCGUUUUCUCAUAUUUAAAAAUUUUCAAUAUGAAUGUUAUAUUAACAGAUCAAUGUUUCCUAUUUUUUAGAUAACAAAUAUUAUCUUUCAAACAAAUUCAUUUUUUUAGAAAUUUAUUUAAUUUAUUUUCUUUAUUUUUCGUUCCUAAAAAAUAGAAAAUGAUGAGUUGUUAUUAAAUUUUAGGGUGCCGCUAAUUUAUUUCUUUAAUUUUCUUAUACAUGAAAGAUUUUACUGUGUGUGAAUAAAUUAUUUCUAUGUAAAACAUACUUUGCAUAUUUAUGGUAUAUUAUAUCAUAUACCAUAAAUAUAUAAACAUGCUUAGUAUGUUUCUUUAUACUUUGUAUAUUUAUAUAUGUGUGUAUAUGGUAUAUACAUGGUACAAAUUUCAUAUAUAACAUACUUUGUAUAUUAAUGUUAUAAAUAUGCGUAGUAUGUUUCUUAAUACUUUGUAUAUUUAUAUAAUGAUAUAAACUUUAUAUAUAACAUACUUUGUAUAUUUCUGCUAUAAAUAUAAUAUUUUAUUUAUUUAUGAGUGUAAAUAUAAUAUUUUGUGUGUAAAGAUACCAAGUAUUAUGGUAUACAAAGGUAACAGUUGCAGUUUAAGGUAUAAAUUUGUUAAAUUGGACAUUUUUUUUUUAUGAAAAAUAUGUAUCACCAAUUUAUUUUUGUAGCAUAUAUAUGGUAUAAAUUAUUUAUAUUUGAAUAGUAUAAUAAAGAUAAUCAAAUUAAAAAUGAGAAUAAUUUGUGAUAGUGGUAAACUAAUCUGCUACAACUUUAUUAAUUCCAUAAAUAUAGAAAACGAUUAUCCAUUAUUAAUUACACGACUAUAAUUCCUUAAACGUCCGUAUCAUAACAGAAAAAUUAUUAUUGUUAUUAUAUUAUAGUAAUUAGGAUCAUUAGCAGUAAAUAAUGUCUUAGAUAAGGGAGAAAAUUAAAUAAGAGAGAAAAAUAAUGAUGAGAGAGAAGAAGAGAUAUAUAUUAAUUAGGAUAACAUUAAGUUUGAAAUUAUAAUUAUCUUAUUCUUUAAAACUGUUAUAUACGUAAUAUUGAAAAAAUAAUGUUAUAAGGAGAAUUUUAUGUAAAAUUUUAAAAAUUGGGAUUAUAUGUAAUAAUAAUAAAAGUUGGAAUUGAAAAAUUUUGAAAACACCAAAAAUCUAUUUUCCCUUUUCAAUUUUUUUUUUGAAAUUAUUUUCUGAAUUUUCAUGACCAAACACCACAAAUUUCAACUCUAAAAAAUUUUUCCAAAAAAAAAAAGAAAAAAAAUUUCAUGGUGAAACGGUCCCCUUAAAUAUCCAGUUAUGUUAUUUCUCUUCUUUCGUUCAUCCAUAAGGCCGUAAUCAUUUUAAAUAUCCAGUGAAUCAUUGUUUUUAGUGUAGACAACUUGAUUUUAAUCAAAUUUGAUACUUUUUUUUCUCAAUAUUAUUUCACACUUUAGGAUAAGGGGUAAGUAUUUCUUUAUUAUUUUUAAUCAAAGAUUUCAGGCUCAAGUCAUAGUAUUAGCACAUCGUCUUUGCGGGGAAUAUUUUAUCCUCAAUGUAAUCUAUACAAAUUAAAUUUAAUCGAACUCAAAUUUCAUGUAGGGUGAAGGUGGAAAUAGAAAAGACAUAAUAUGUUUGGUCAUACUUCUAAAAUAAACUUAUUUUAAAAAGUUUUUUUCAAAAGAAUGUUUUUGGUGGGAAUCAAUUUUGUUUGACCAAUAAAUUUAUAAAGUAAUGAGCAACAAUUAGCGUUUGAUCAAACUUUUUAAAAGUAUUUUUCUGAAAAGUGUUUUUCAAAGAAGUGUUUUAAAGAGAAACAACCUUUUUUUUUAGUUUAUGAAAAGCUGUUUUUUCUGCUUCUCAGAAACACUUAUUUUUUUUUCAAAAGUUUGACCAAAAACCUCAUCUUUUUUAAAAGAAAAUAUUUUAAAUGAAAAAUAAACACUUUUUUAAGAAAAUUAAAAUUGAUCAAACAGGCCAAUAGUCAAUAUUCAAAUUAUUAAAAUGCUCAUAGUCAUGUGAGGGCACAUAUUUUAAUUUUUCCAGUAAACAAAUGUUGCAAAGACUUGUGAUUAACAAAUUGUAGUAAGAAAAUUGUAAUGCUUAAAUCACAUAUAAUGAAAUCCAAAAUCACUAGUACAGAUGCUACCAUUUACUGUAAUUAAAUUUCUUAAUGGGCUUUAAUAUAUGUAAACUUGACCGUUUAUUUACUUUUAUUAAUUGACAUUUACACUUAAUUAUUAGCCCACUAGCUUUCUAGACCAACUUUUUAAAACAUAUUUUAGCAAGUUGGCAUAAUUUUGUUGACUCAUUUGUAUCUUUUUCUAAGGUUUUGUCAUAAAUAACAAAUUGCCGAAUUUCCCAUAUGAAAAUAACGGCUCUUAUAUUCGGUACUAUCAUAUAUAUGGGAUUAUAAUUAGCUUACAUCACCAGCCAAUACUUUAGUAUUUCUAUUUGGAGACACAUUUUUCUAGUGUAAUAUAUGUGAAAAAUAAAAGUUUUCAUUUUGCUACCCAGCUCAUUAAAAAAGAAAAUUUUCACCUACUUUACGCUAUAUUAAAAUCUGCUUUAACUUAUUUCACUUUACUAAAAGGUCAAUAAAUCCAUGUUUUCGUCCUCUAGUUACGGUUCGGCUUGCUUUAAAUAAAUUAAAAUGAUGUAACUGUAUUAUUGCUGUUAAAGAGCUGAGCUAUGAAUAUAAUUUGAAUCCUAAAAGGUAAGUUCAACAAUAACAACAUACAUUAACAAUGUACUAACAUAAGGGUGUGUUUGGUUUAGAGGAAAAACGUUUUUGAAUUUUCUCAUACGCAUAUUUGUUGACUUAUAUAUUUUGAAAAAUGCUUUUCAUAUAGAUUUAUUUUCCUCAAUUUUAAGAAAAUUGACUUCCCUUCAUAAAUUAAAGAAAAUAUUUUUCAAAACUCUCUUACAACUUCACCACCCGAACCCAAAUCAAGUCCCUGGGCCUAACUCCGAAUUACAACCCGAGAUCAGAGACCCAACUCCCAAUCCCGACCCCAAUCUUGACCCUUGGCCUCAGCCCUGCGACACCCACCAUGAUCCGACUUUGAACUUCCAACAUGGUCUAGGGUUAGGGCAGGGUCUCAGGUUGGAGUCGAGGUCGACAGUCGGGUUCUAAAGAGGGAUCAGGAGUCAGUUCUCUGAUCAAGUUCGGGAGUUAGGACUCAAGUCGAGGUCAUUAGUCGGGGUCGAGGUCUAAGAUUUGGGGUGAGGUUCAAGAGUCGAGCCUCGGGUUGAGUCAAGAAUCGGUUCUAGAGUCAAAAUUGAAUCUAUGUGACUCAAUCUAUGUGACUCAGGUCAGAUCGAUAUAUAGUUGGGUCUCGGGUCAUGACAUAGUCUGGUCUUCGAUUGAGUGUCGAGAGUCGAGUUCAAGGAUCGGGUCCCAGGUUGAGGUUGCUAGUUGAGGCCCACGUCAGGUUUAACAACAGUGGUCAAGAUAAGAAUUCGAUUCACACAUCGAUGUUUGAUUGAAGUCUCAAAUCUCGGAUUAGAGUCGAGAUUGGGAGUUGAUCUCGAGUCAAGGUUGGAUCCUGGAUAUAGCUAGGCUCGUGGAAUAAGAUGAGGUGCUGAGUGGUAGAGGAGAGUCUAAUCUUGAGUCAGGGUCGGGAGUAGAGUUCGAGGGUGGGGUCAUGUCUCGGGUACGGGUGGGGAAUUGGGACCUAGGUCAGCAUAAAGAGUUAGGUCUCGAAUCAAGGUCGAAUCUCGGAUCCCGAGUUUUGCAUUGGGGUCACGUUCUGAAUUUGGUUCUCGGGGUCGUGAAUUGUGUUUCAAGUUGAGGUUAAGAGUCGAAUCUCGGAUCGAGGUACAAAUUUGGAAUUUGCAAUCUUCAAACAUUUGUGUAUGUAUUAUAAUUGUGAUAUUUUUUUAUUUCACACUCCAUAUGGAAUAUCAAUCCCAAAAUUAAACAUCAAAGUAACACAAAUUUAAAAUAAAAUUCAAUCUUAUACCGUUCAAAGUCAUACAUAUUUUAUAUCAGAUUCCUUACAUCUUUGAGUUUAGUCUAAUUUGUUACUAAAUAGUUAUUUUUCAGUCCAAUAUUGGUAAUUCCUUUUAUUAUUAAUACCAAAAUAACUUGUUCACCAACCAUUUGACUCUAUUUUUUCAACUCUACCUAGGGGCUUCCACCUUUUUGCUCAAUUGGUGAUUCAAACUCACAAUAUUAAAAUUAAAAAAAUAAAGGAUAUUUAUCAUCCGAGCAACCCUCUCUUGUCUUGUCGGUUGUCACCAAGUGACUCUAUAGCUUUCUCUGUUGAAGUUUGUUUUCUAUAAGAAAAACAUAGAGAGUCAUAGUCUAAAAUUUAGCAUAUGAUUCCCCUAAAUAAAUUUUGUUCACGAGAACAAUGAGGCGUUCAUCUUGUUCGAACAUUUCCAUUUUAAAUUUCAGCUAGCACUCUAGGGCAUAUAAUAUAAUUGGAACUAGAAUUUGUAAAGUGAGGUACAAGAUGCCCAAGACUACGUAUUUUAGUGAUUCACUCUAGGUCUCCAACUAGAGCCCCUCCCAAAAUAAAUUUAAGAAUAUGCAAAAUUUGGUAAUGAUAUGACAUACAAAACAGAAAGAAGAGAAAAUAAAACAAGCAUUGAAUUAAAGAAUAGUGAAUCAAAUUCUUCACUAACUUGAAAGACAAUAUGAAUUUCCACAAAGAACAAAAGUGACCACCAUUAAUAUCAUAGAGCUGCUUUUAGAAAAUGGACCUUUUCUUUUUGUGCUGAUCUCACUAGAAUUCACAGCAUCAUUUUUUUUUUUUGGUUGUGUGCGUACUUAUUCGUUAAUAAUGCUAUUUUUGCUAAGAAAUGAAGAAAAAAAAAGGUUUAUUUUAUAUUUUUCAUUUGGUUUGGGCAGUAUUGACCAAUCAAAAGCAAAUGAUGGGAUGGAGCAAUAUGUUGCCAAUUAGUAAUUAAGCAUCUUAAAAGAGAACAAGGAUAUACAAAAGGAAAUUAAAAUGUGUAAUAACCUUAUGCUAAGAUUUCUUUACUAUUAACAAAAAGAGUAAUAUUCUGUAGUUACCAAACUUCUAAAUAAGCUUAUUUUCAUUUCUUAAGUAUUAACAAAAAUUUUCUUUUGAUGCUUGUUAUAUACAAGAAUAUACUUAAUUCUCAACUAAUUAAAAUAUGUGAUCUUGGUAAUCAAACCGUGAAAUAGAGUAGUAAUUUUAAAAUUCUAUAAAUAUUCAUAAGCUAGAGAUAAAAAUACACAUUUCAAAUAGUUUAAAGGUAAAUAUACUUCGUCAUAUAUCAUGAUAUUGGGUUUAAGUUGAAUGUAUGAAUGGAAAAUGAAGGAAAUUAGUGGAGAAAAAGUGAGAUCAAACCUAAAAGGAAAGUGUACUCACAAUAAAGAAGGUUUACUAAUUCUCCCACAUUGGUGGGAGAAAGAAACUCUCAUGUGUUCUUAUUAAGAAACACCACUCCACUUAGACAGUGAGGCAAGAACCAAAAGGUGUCUCACAUUGUUAUUUCUUGCUAGACUCCAACUUUGGCUUGAUCAAAUGAUCGAUGAGAUUAAUUUUUUAGACAAAAUUUAUUUGAAACUUGUAAAAACAAGUGAAUUUUAUUAAUCCGAAAAAUUCAAAGAAAAAAACGAAAAAUACGCCAUGCAGAUGCAUGUAGAAAAGCAAAACAUUAAAAGGGGUGACUGUUCGGUCGAUGCGACUGUUCCAAAGGGAUACACUUUUCCGAUGAACCAUUGCUUUCUUCUGUAAGAGGCACUUGAUGACUAUAAAUACCUGCAUUUUCUCCACAGAUAGGAACAAAAAUUUUCAGAAUUGAAAAUACUUUUCUACUUCCAAAAACUCAUUGUGAUCAAGCUGCUGUUGAGUGUGUUCGACGAAUUCGAUAGUUUGAGGUACCGCUACUGACAAAUUGUGAACCAUUUUAUCCUGGGACAAAAAAAUUCACAACCUCGGGCACUUGAGGGGAAUUAAUUCCUUAAGGCCACUCCGUGAAGUCGGAGGACUUAGCUCUUAUUCUGUUUCAUCUUAUUUCUUUUACAUAACAUAACGUACUUCUUUGAUAGUUCUUGUUGAAGAUGUUAAAAACUUUAUUGUUGUUCUUGAAAAAGUCUUGAACUUGUGUUGAAAUUUAAUAUAUAAACAUACAGAUUGUGUAUCUGAAACAACACUGAAAGAUUGAAAUAAAAUUCAUCAAAAACUAAGGAACCAAAACGGUAAUUAACCCAAAAUAUCAUCGAAAUCUCUCUUGUUUUGGUCUAAGCUAGAAAUUUAAAUUAGCUUUCUUCAAUUAUUUUCUUGUUUCACACCAAACUAAACAAAAGGAAGAAAAUCACUUCUAUCAAUUCUUAUUUCUUUCCUUCUAUUUUCCUUUUCCUUUCUCUUCUAUAUCCGUAAUAUCCAAACGCAAGAGUCAAGAAGCUGCCUAAUAAUUGGAUUUUUUUUUUUUAAAUAUAAUCAAAAUGAACAUAAUAAAUUACCACAAAAGUUCAAAUAUGAGGAUAGUGGAAGUCAUACCAUAAAAUGAUAUAUUGUUGGUUUUAUCAAGGGAAUUACAAGUCUUAUGUUGAAUCAGUAAUAUACAAGAAAAAAUAAUUCAAAAAUGGAAGUAUCUUAGUAUGAAUACGUAGUUAAAUAAAGCAUAUUCGACUUAAUAUAUAUAACCACAAUGAAAAGCAUUGGAAUUGGUCCAAUAAUAUCAAGAGAAAACAAUGCAAGCUUCAAACAACGACCUAUAUUUAAAUCUCUUAUUGAUUUGAAAAUAGAAUUUCAACCUAGAUUUAGUCAAUUUCUAACAGUCCUAAACAACAUAGCCCUCAUACUAUUCUAGAUAGGAUUAAGACAGAAUUAAAAAAAUUUGUAAUUACUUUCACUAACAAAAAGUUAAGGUACUAGAUCUCCACCUUGUCAAGUCAAUUACUAUAUAAUAUUCACCCUAUUGUUGAAUGAAAAAGGCUAAUUAUUCCAAAAGAAAAACAUUUGGAAAUGGAAUAAUAUGUAAAGAAAAGUAUUAUACGUAGCAAAAGGAAUCGUUCUUUAAGUGGAAUUGAAAGUCGUUUGUUUUUUCUUUUAAAUGGUUAGCAAUUACCUCAAAAGUCGUUGAAAUUCGGUGCCCAAAAUUAAGAAUAAGAUUUUAAAAAAAAGCACAAUUUUUUUUUGUCUCUGUGUUAAAAAGAAAAUUAAAGCAGAUGAAGAUUCAGACUUUAGUGAAAAACUAUCCGCACUUGGUAUUCGUACAAAAUUAUAUGAAUUUAUUAUUUUUAAGUAAUUUAUGAGGUAACAUGUUUGCAUGUUAAUUACUAGUCAUGAUUAAAUCUUACAAAUUUAUCGAUGAACACAUAUAGAUAUAUUUAUUGAUUUGAUGUAAAUAUUAUAUGCAAAUAAUUUUUUACCUUUAAGAAUUAUAUUUGCACAAAUCUGAAGCUUCGUGCGCUAUUAUUUUAAGGACCCGUUUGAACAAAAAUAGUUUCGGCGCUUGCCAAUUUGGUAAGACUUAGUGAACAAUUGAUCAAUAAUAUAAAACAAUUACCCCCAAGUUAUCAAUCUGGCAAGAUUAGUGAAUAAUUUGAUAAAAUGGAAAAUGAAGAUGAUAUUUUCUUCAAGAUCUCUUAAAACACCUGUGACUUAUGGGCUUGAAAAGUUGCCCAUCACUUCAAUGUUUUCACCAAUCCAAGAGAGCUAAUGGGCCAAGAGAUAUGAUAAGAGAGCUACAACAUGCCUAAAAAUAUGUAAUUUUCGUGAGACACCCGAAAGGCAAAAAAAAAAAAAAAAUACUCUCUCCGUUUAAAAUAGAAUGAUCGAUUUUUUUUUUUAGUUCAUUUAAAAAAGAAUGUUCCUUUUUCUUUUUUGGUAAUACUUUAAUUUCAACUUUCCACAUGACAUGUUUAGGAACAUAAGAUUAAAGGGCAUUUUGGUACAUUUGACACAAGGCCACAAGAUUCAAAAAUUUUCUUUAUUUUCUUAAACUUUAUGUCAAGUCAAAGUAGGUUAUUUUUUUUUGAAACGGAAGGAGUAGUAUUUAACAACAUGCAAAAAAUAAAAUAAAAUGUUGAGCACCGUACUUAUUAGAUAUAAAAGUUCAGACUGUAUCUAGAAGCAGAAGGAGAGAUUAAGAAGAAAUGAAUCAAAUUCUUCACUACCUUUGAAAGCCCAAAAAAAAAUAAAAAAAUCCCACAAAGAAAAUAAAGUGACCACUAACUUCGUAGUGCGGCCGUUUCUUUUCUUAGACAAAAAUUAAAAAGGUGAAUUUUUUCUUUUGUGCUGAUAUCACUAAAAUCAAAUCUUAUGUUCAUAAUUUUGUAUACAUGUAUUUGAUUAAAAAUGAUUUGUGAGGAAGAGAUAAAUAAAAAAAAGUUGAUUGAUUAUAUGCAUUUUGUUUGGUUAAAGAUUUAGCAAUCAAGUUUAUUAACCAUAUCUCUAGUUUCAAAAUAGUUCGCCUUUAUUGACUUGAUAUUCUCUUAAGAUUAAAUUUAUCAGAAGCUUAUUUUAGCAAAUUAACCUUACUAAUUAUUUUUUGAAAAUGUAAAUUUAAAUAUAUACACUUUAGACGUGGAUCAAGAAUUAGCUUGUUUUAUGGGAGUGUUAGAGUAGUGACUCAUGGGCUAGAAAUGUACGUGAAUCCAACUUCAUAUGUCGAUGAAGGUCCACAAUUUGGAAAGGCAUAAUAGGCCCAAUUUUCAUAUUUGGGCUCAAACUUAAUAUCACCCAAUGAUCCAACGAUACAGCUCUAUUGUAUCAGAUCUCUAGGUUUUUGGGUCUAUAAAAUAAGAAAAUGGGUAAAUAACAUAUACAUACAUCUUAACUUAUCAUAUUUACACGAAAUUUCACCUUUCCAUAGUAAUUACAAAAAUUUCAACUUCUCUUUUUAUCUUUAAAAUACAUAAAUAACACUACCCCAAAAUCCUAAAUCCAAUUCGUCUUUUUCUUCCAUAUCAGCUGCCCCAAAUUCCAAAUCCAAUUCAAACACCCUUUUCCCCCUUUUCAAAAUAUUUGUUUUUAGUUUCUAAAGAUUUUUUAGCAAGAUUUCUUAAACGGAGGUUCGUAGGAAUCAAUACAAGGUUCUGUCAACACUAAGAAAGGUCGUUGUCGCCGUUGCAUAUUGUUUACCAUCGAUAUGGGACAAUUAAACUGUAAGUGGGUUAAGAGCACGCAUUAUGACCUAACUUUGAGUUAGUAGUAAAAGUUUGCAAAUUAACAAGUAAAUAAUAUUAUCCACAAAGAAAGUAAAGUUUGAGAACAAAUUUAGAACGACAACGCAUAACGUAAUUAAAUCGAGAUUCCUUAGUCACGAGCCGGUCUUGACCGGAGUUAAUAUUGUUGGAAUUAAGUAGCUACAUAGAUACAUACAAAUGUAUAUCUUUUGUUUUACACUGACUGGAGUAGAAUUUUGGACUUAGUCAAUAAUUUGGGCCAAUCCAUUAUUAUUCAAUAAGAAUGAUUAUUCUUUGUUCACAAAGAGGGUUAAUGGUUCUCUUACUUUUUUGGUUGUAUAAGUUGAUAAUAUCUUCCUUGCUGGGGAUGAUAUAUCUGACUUGGAUGAUUUAAAAUUAUUUCUGGACAUUCAAUUCAAGAUCAAAGAUCUUGGUUUAGUCCAUUAUUUUCUGGGCUUGGAGAUAUCCUCCUAUCCUCAAGGCUAUCUUAUGACUCGGCACAAGUUUACCUCUGAUUUAUUAGUUGAGUUUCGUUGUGAUCAAUUUUCACCUGUCUCUGCCCCACUGGAUACUUCCUUGAAACUUACUACUGACAUGGGUGCUCUUUUCACUGAUCCUUCCACUUUUCAUCGCUUUGUUGACAAGCUGAAUUUUCUUCAGCACACUCGAUCUGACAUUUCAAAUGUUGUUCAACAUUUGAGUAAGUUCUUAUAGGCUCCUGAAGUCCCACAUCUUGUGGCUGGCAUUCAUGUAUUUAGAUACUUACUCAAUGCUCCUGACCUUGGUUUGUUGUUUAAUAAUUCUAUGGAUUAUUCCUUAUUGGCUUAUUUUGAUUUUGAUUGGGCUGCGUGUGCGAAUUCACGCCGGUCAGUCACUGGAUUUUUCAUCACUUUGGGUGGCUCUCCUGUAUCAUGGAAAAGUAUGAAACAACCCACAAUCUUUCUUUCAUCUGUUGAGGCUGAGUAUCAUGCCUUAUGCAAAGUUGUGGUUAAAUUAUCAAGGUUGUUGCGUCUCUUAUAUGAUUUUGAUGUUGAUGUUUCGAACCAUGUUCCUGUAUAUUGUGACAGUCAAGAGCUCUUCAAAUAACUCGUAACCCUGAUUUUCAUGAACGCACCAAGCACAUCGAGACGGACUGCCACAUUAUUCGUGAUAGUGUUCACUGCGGCCUUGUCUCUCUUCAUUUCAUCGCUUCCGCAGACUAGUUGGCUGACAUUUUCACUUAGUCACUCCCAGGUCCAGCUCAUCAUGGCAUCCUCUGCAAGCUUGGUGUGCUUACACCCUCCAGCUUGAGGGAGGUGUUGGAAUUACGUGGCUAUAUAGAUACAUACAAAUGUAUAUCUUUUGUUUUACACUUACUGAUGUAUAAUUUUAGACUUAGUCAAUAAUUUGGGCCGGUCCAUUAUUAUGUCAUAUUGGGCCUUAUAUGUCUGUACACAUAUUGAUGACACGGUCCACUAUUACAAAGUUAAAUUGUAACACCCCGUAUUCAAGAACGUGUAUUGGCGUAUUCAAGUACGUGUAUUGGUCUUAUUUAUAUGGAAUUAAUUUUUUUUAUUUUAUUUAUACCGAAAUAUGUCCGUUGAUGGUUUUAUGCGAAGGUUAUUGAAUAAUUUUUUCAACGAUAUAAAGAUUUCCAAAAGUGGAUAGGUUUCGGAUAUAAUCGAGUACGUUCGAAACUAUAAAACGGUGGCCGAGAUAUUUGGGAAUAGUAAAUGUGCAGGAAAAUUUCCUGCACACAAAUUACUGAGGCCAGCCGAAUUUUUGGGUCAACUUUGAAUGAUCAUAAAUCCUUUAAUAUAAUGAACUGGGAGAGCUGCGACCUAUGAAAAGAAAGAUCUUUGAGUCUUCUUUCCAAUGCAAUUGGUUUCAUCCAANNNNNNNNNNNNNNNNNNNNNNNNNNNNNNNNNNNNNNNNNNNNNNNNNNNNNNNNNNNNNNNNNNNNNNNNNNNNNNNNNNNNNNNNNNNNNNNNNNNNNNNNNNNNNNNNNNNNNNNNNNNNNNNNNNNNNNNNNNNNNNNNNNNNNNNNNNNNNNNNNNNNNNNNNNNNNNNNNNNNNNNNNNNNNNNNNNNNNNNNNNNNNNCUUAUCAAAACAGUCCACCAAAGAACAGGUUUGACAUUAUUUAAGUUUUAAAGGCAUUUUGGUCAUUUCCUAUUAUAUUAUGGACGGGAAUAUGUGUAUAUAUACAUGUAUAUGAGUUCAAAAAUUCAUUUUCAUCAUCAAUCAUUGAGAAAGAACAAACCCUAGCCAAAUUUGACCUUUAAAUUACUUUUGAUUCAACUGUAGAAAUUCCAAAGUAAUUCGAUAACUGCGUUUGUCAUCUCGAGAGCUUCGAACGGCACCUAUUAUUUGUGCAAAUAGGAUUGCAUAAUCAAGAGGUGAAUUCUAAGGUAUGAAUAUUGUUUGUCUUUGUUCUCUUCCAUAUGUAUAUGUGUGAUAGAGGAUUAUAUGUAUUGGUUGUUAUUGAAAGGUGAUGAAAAUAGGGUUAUGGACUAUUUUGCAUGGUUUGGUUGUAUUGAAUUGUGGAAGGUGGAUAUGGUAAUUGAGUUAUGGAAGGUGGAUAUGGUGAUAUACUAUUGAAUUGAUGAUUAUUUAUGUCUAUGGCUCAAUUUGGUUUAAUGGAUUGGUUGGAAGGAUAAAUGAAUCCAAACUUGAUAUUGGAGGAUGUUGUAUGAAUAUGCAUGGCAUGUGAAUGUAAUUGGAGUAUAAGAGGGUUAAAGUGACACCCUUUAUGGUGUAAUUAAGGCUUACUACUUAACCACUAGUUUGGUGAAUUCAAAUAAUUGAAUUGUGACGUUUGGUUGCUAAUACUAGAUUGCUAUAUAUGUUCAUUGUAGAUAAGUAAUCCAAAAAGAUGAGAAGUCCAUUUGGGACUAGUAUUGAAGGUUGACAGUCAGGUAUGUAAAGCAUACUCUAUACCAUAUCUUUGUCAUGAAAGUGAACAAUUGUUCUAUUAAGAAAGUUUCCAAAGUUAUUCAGUAACAUGUGAUCCAUAAUGGUUUUGUAUGAUGUCCUACGUUACCAAUGAACUUGUUUCCACCCUACUAGAUGUCAAGAUAUUCCAAUACUUACCUGUUUUCCAAAUCUUACAUGUUUAUUACACUAAUGAAUGUCAGAAAGUAUUCGGUUACUCAAACAAGAUCCUUGUGCUAUUAAUGACUCCAAAACGUUUCACUGAUAUACCAAUAAGUUCCUACUUCAUUAUUAUGGCAUUGAUGACUCCAAAACACUUCAUUGAUGUGCCAAUGAGUUCUUACUUCAUUGUUAUUGCAUUGAUAGUCUAUUUAUAUGUCUCUUAUUAAUGUAUCAUUGUUUCAAAGUAUAAAAAAUGCGGUGGCGACCGAAAUAACAAUCUCAAAGAUUAAUUGAACNNNNNNNNNNNNNNNNNNNNNNNNNNNNNNNNNNNNNNNNNNNNNNNNNNNNNNNNNNNNNNNNNNNNNNNNNNNNNNNNNNNNNNNNNNNNNNNNNNNNNNNNNNNNNNNNNNNNNNNNNNNNNNNNNNNNNNNNNNNNNNNNNNNNNNNNNNNNNNNNNNNNNNNNNNNNNNNNNNNNNNNNNNNNNNNNNNNNNNNNNNNNNNNNNNNNNNNNNNNNNNNNNNNNNNNNNNNNNNNNNNNNNNNNNNNNNNNNNNNNNNNNNNNNNNNNNNNNNNNNNNNNNNNNNNNNNNNNNNNNNNNNNNNNNNNNNNNNNNNNNNNNNNNNNNNNNNNNNNNNNNNNNNNNNNNNNNNNNNNNNNNNNNNNNNNNNNNNNNNNNNNNNNNNNNNNNNNNNNNNNNNNNNNNNNNNNNNNNNNNNNNNNNNNNNNNNNNNNNNNNNNNNNNNNNNNNNNNNNNNNNNNNNNNNNNNNNNNNNNNNNNNNNNNNNNNNNNNNNNNNNNNNNNNNNNNNNUGUCAUAUCCAGUCACUUUUGGUAUUGUAUAAAAGUUAGUUAUAUGGCGGGGUGUGUCCCGACCUUAGUUAAACUCUGUGUAUUGUCUAGAGGCUUUGUCGACCUAAUGUAUAGUCAAGGUGGUGUUUUGUUAAUAGACGUGAUGGCUCCAAUGACCAAGUAUUGUAUAUACAUAUAUAUGUGUGCUCGAGCUUAUACAGAUGAUUAUUUCCUUUUAUAUGCGACAUGAUGCUGUCCGAAUUUCGGGUUGUCAUAGAGGUAUGCAUGAGAAGUAUAAGGUUAUGAGUUGGUUCUCCCGGGUCUCCUCGGUUACGGGUGCCAGUCCGCCCCAAUAGAAUUUGAGGCGUGACAUAAAUAUUAGUGGAUCUGGUUUUAGAUUUCGAUGGAUUAAAAAAAAUUCACUCUUUCUCUUCUUUCUUAUCCUCUCAAAUCAGAUUUGGGUUUGUCACUUUUGAUCCAUCAAAUUCAGCUCAAGUUCGAGAUUAACAAAUAUUAACUUAAACAGUGAGCUAAAUAAGCAAAGACAAAAAAAGAAACCAGAGGUAAAGAUAAAAGAAAUUUCAUUGCUUAUAGAUAGAGACACCAAAAUCAGAGUGUGAAUUUAUAAAGUACAAGGACUAUUUUCGACCAAUAAUUGAGUAUAAAAAAAACACCACCGUUACCAAUGACAAAAGCCCACUUGCCGACACAUCGUUGGGGAAUGCCAACCUAAUAUUGUCUGGCUGGCACGAACCCACGGAGGAUCAUUCAUGUACCUGAGAGCUCUGACACAUUGGUCCCCUGUCUGUUUUUUCGUGCGUGGUCGUUGUUGCUAGUAGGCCUGUGCCAUUUCUAUCUAGCCCGAGAGGACAUUCUUAAACUUUGAUAUUAUUCUCGGGAUAACAUCAUCAUAGAACAACUCCAGUUCUACUUGACCCGAGAUGGCCUAUAUGGUCCCGUUUGGAUUGGCUUAUUUAUGUGUUUUUAAGUUAAAAUUGAUUUUUAAGUACUUUUAAAGUGUUUGGGUAAAUUUAAAAAGUGCUUAUAAGCACUUAAUUUUAAGCUAAAAUACUAAAAAUAAGCCAAAAGCUAUAAGUUUGAAUUUUUAGCUUAUGACUUAUAAGUCAAAGAUAAAAUUUUUAACUCAAAAUGCCAUAGAUAAUUUCUAACAUAACCCACAAUGCCAUAUAUAAUUUAAUACAAAAUUAAAUUUCAAAAAUUAACUACAAAAAUAAAAUGUGGUUGAAGAAGAAAAUGGAGCAAAAUGGGAAAUGUGGAAGAGAAAAGAAAAUAAUAAAGUUAAAUAAUUAAUUUUUUAGAGUAAAAAAGAAAAAAAAAACAACGUGGCAGCGAGUACAGCUUACUGCCUGAAACAAUGUCUGGGCAUGAACUUUUAGGGGUGUAAAUAUUCUACUUUAAAAUAGUUCAGGAGGUCAUAAGACCCCCGCAAAGUAUUGGUGCGUAGUUGAGAUUUGGGGUAAAGAUUGGGAGAGCUUUUGACCAUUUUCUUUUAAGUAAAAAGUCAAAAGUCAAUCCAAACAAGCAUUAUACUUGCUAAAACUUUGUUGUCCCACACACACAUGUAGAAUUUAUAAACUUAUUACAAUAUUUAUUUUUCAAAGAAUUAUAAGAUCGCAAAGUGACUAGUAAACAUUAUUUUAUGAAAAGAAAAUCUUAUUUUUCUUUGGAUGCUUAUUGAUUAUUGGAGGAUUCAAUCAUUUUCUGUGUGUUAGACAAAUAAAUAACUUACGGACUGUAGUAAUUCUUCAGCGCAAAACAUGGUCUACGGUAUUCAUGAUAGCAAAGAAUAAUUUCACCCCUUUAGUAUCCAAGGUAUGAUUAUCCCAAAAUAAUAAAAUGGAUUCCUUUAAACAUUGUAAUUAUACUGUUAAGCCAACAAAUAAGUGGCACUUAAAUUUAAUUAUAAUGAGAUUUGUCCAAAGGUGAUAAUUAUGUUUUGUGGAUGUGGAAAAAUGAGCAGGGUGAACGUUGUAGAAAAGACCCCACAUUUCAAUUAUUUCUCCCCCCCAACCCCCACCCCCAUCAAUUCACCCACAAUUAUUGCACGGCCUAAUCAUUUUAUUUUCGUCCCUUCUUUUUUUUUUUGGUAAUCUAUUUAUCUUUGAUAAUUUGAACGGUAAAAAUUUGGCCAACUUUUGAAACGGCUAAAGUAUUUGAACGCAUUGAAUAUUGUUUUUCUUUUUCUCAUUGAAUAUCGUCCUGUUGAGCUGUUAUAGGCAAACUAAAUAACUAAGCUAUAGUUUUAUGUAAGUUGUUUAAUUGUUCAACAAUAUGUUAAACAUAUUCAUUUAUUACUAUUAACGAAGUUAGUCAGCAUGCCCGAAAAUUUAUGUAAUAGUAAUAAGAUUUCUAAAUAAAAUUUUAAGUUUAAUAAUUUACGAAUUUAGAAGAUUAUAGAAUUGAAUCCCAUUCAUCUUUUGUGAAACUUUACAUGUGACUAUUGAUGCAAACUCCACAAUGCAUAAUUGUUCAUCUGGGAAUUCUGAUACAUUUACACAGCUUUGAUGUUGAUGGGACUUCAAUUUUUUUUCCCCAACGUUUAUAAGAAUCUUAUUUCAAAAUUCAAAUAUGAAAUUUCUUACUACUAAAUAAGUACUAUGUUACACUUGUUAACCCCGAUCAAACCUUAUAAACAUCAGUAAGGGUGUGUUUGGUGUAAAGGAUUUUUUUUGAAUAAAAUAUCUUUGUUGGAUUACAACCAUUUUGGUUUUCUAAAUAAGAAAAAAAAAAUCAGUUCAAGAAUAUGUAUAUGAAAUCUAGGAGAACACAGUGGGGAUGGGAGUAGGGGUAGGAAUGUGAGGAUGGUGGGAUUGCAUGUUUGGAGAAUGAGUAACGAAAUGCAACUUAUGGAUUCAUUUUCCCUACUUAAUUAUAAUAGGAAUUUAUUUUUCUAAUAAUUAAAGAAACUUGUUUUUUCCACCACCAAGGCGCUCUUGUUUUUUCCCAUUUUCUCUACAUUAUUAUUCUCCCUUUGCUUAAAACGUUUCACAAAAUGGCCAAAGCUAAACAUUAUUUAACCAAUCUGAAUUAGUGUAUGUUAAUCUCAAAUACAGCUUGACGGAUAUUUUUAUUGUACGUCCUAUGAACCCCAUAUUGCCGUAAUCAGCAGUCCAAAGAUUUCCAAAAUACAUUGGUUGGAUGAACUGAAGUCAAUAAUGUAUAUUUCUAUUACUUCGAGCAAAAGCCAUAACUGAAAACGUAACAUAAGCUGAAUUUUGAAGCUCCUUGUUGACUCCUGAAUUCAAUUACUCGUACACUUUUUUUUUUUACAAAAUUUCCUAAGAUAUCAUAAUUUAGAGAUGUAUUAUUAAGAGUGAAAGAACUUUCAAAAAUCUUACAAUACUUAUACAGAAUAGUAAUUCAUCAAUAAUAAAAAGGUGUUGAAUCUGAUCGACCAUGGUAAAGGUAUGGCACCAUAUGGAUCUUUGUCCCAAGAGCUGAGAAAAAUGUUCACAACCUGGGAUAUUGGAAGAGGCGGAUCCAAGAUUCGAAAGCUUCGGGUGUCACCUUAUUUUGAACAAUAACGUAUACUUCGUACAUAUUUUAAGAUAGUAAAAUCAAAAUUCAAAGAGAAAACUAUAAUUAUAUAUAUCUUACAAGUGUUAGUGUUAGUAUUGCUUGCCCAGUUGGUAUUGUCAAUUGUUUUGAUAUUGUGGGUGCCAGGGAUAAUAUUUAUACGCCACUAGUUUCCUUUGAUACAGUGUUUCAUCCGAGAAGUACGGGUGCCGUGCCACCCCAUACCUUCUACAUGGAUCCGCCCUGAAUGUUGGUCAUGCAAAAGGUUGCGCAGCUUUCAAGACUAGUAGUAUUUCUCACUCUAACCUUCGAUUUUCAUUCCAAUAGAUUCGUUUUCUUUAUUUUUUGUAGCAAAAUCUGGUGACAUGUUUCUAGGAACGCUCGAGGAUAAUGUUAAUAAAAGCAUUAAACAUCCCAUUCUACCAGCAUUAAAAGUCGCAUGAUGCCAGGUCAGCCCCAAAUACUUCUAAUAUUAUUUGUCCAUUUAUUAAUUGUAUCAUAAACCAACCAAACAUAAUCAAAGCAAGCACCCUAGAAUACUACUAAAUCAUUAUUAGAAUUCGCAAAAACAAGAAAAAGUAACAAUAAAACAAGAAAUAAAAAAAAGUCUCAAACACACUUCCCACUUCCCAAACAAUCUAGUACUCACUUCCCACCCAUGUAGUACACAACAAUCUCACAAUGACCACUCAAUAUCUCAGUACUAGUGCUUGCAGGGCAGAUUCUUUGAAGGUUCAAAAGCAAAUGGGCCCACAUCAAAGAGCUUAACACCAGGUUCAGAAUUAUUCACAGGCUUUGAUGAUGCCAUGGGAGAUGGGGGUGCAGGGACCAAUAUGGCUCCACUCUGUCCAUUGUGGAAGUCUGUUGGGACACUGCAUUCUGCUUUUGAUGAUUUAGCUAAGAAGACCUUGCACUUGUGGUAACCUGCAGUGGUCAACCACUUCGGUUGAAUAUAAAAGUACCCAUUCUUGUCUGUUGUGCCUAGACUUGUUAGAUGGAACUUUGUGUUGUUGCAUGCCAGCUUCACCACCGCGCCUGUACCAUAAAAUUAACACAAGCCAUUAGUCCAUUACAUUGUGGUAAAUUUAAAUCGAUGUCUGUUGAACUCUUUUAACUAUGCCAUACAUUUUAUUUUGUGACAACAAGAAAGGAUAGACUCGUGAAAUAACAACGGCCUUAAGAGUUAUUUUGUUACAAACAUACAAUAAAGAGUCACACCAAAAUGUAGUUUAAAGAAGAGCUCACCUUGAAUAGGAGAAGCUCCCAAGAGGGUGUCAACUCCCCUAUACUUGCAAGAUUUGCAGUAAACCACUCCCCUUACGCCUACAAACAUCCUCAUCGGAGGUGGAGUUGGUGGUUUAACUGGCGGAUAUGGUUUUACUGGAGGCUUAACUGGCGGAGAUGGUUUUACUGGUGGCUUAACUGGCGGAGAUGGUUUUACUGGUGGCUUAACUGGCGGAGAUGGUGGUUUACUAGGAGAAUGUGCUGGUGGAGUUGGCGGUUUAACUGGUGGAGAUGGUUUUACUGGUGGUUUAACUGGCGGAGAUGGUGGUUUGCUAGGAGAAUGUGCUGGUGGAGUUGGCGGUUUAACUGGUGGUUUAACUGGCGGAGAUGGAGGUUUACUAGGAGAAUGUGCAGGUGGAUACGGUGGUUUAACUGGUGGAGAUGGUGGUGGUGAAGAGUGAGAAGGAGGAGGAGCAGGGGCUGGAGAGUGCUUGUGGUGGUGGUGGUGGUGGUGGUGGCCACCUUUAUGAGGCUUAGGGGCUUCAACAGGUGGGGAGCUAACAGAGGAAUGAGGAGCUAGUUCUGAAGUCACAAUGCCAUCAACAUUUUGGCCAAGAACUGUGAAUGAAGUAACUAGUAGUAAAGCUACAAUAAACCCAAUGGACUUUGUUGGAACAAACCCCAUUUUGUUCGACAAA